AGGAGGCACCUAACAAGUAACUGCAGAAUCUGGUCAGUUUUCUUCUCUUAUACUUCUUUUAUUAUUAUUAAUCUUUCAUGUUGUUAGAAUAUCACUUUUUCGCCUCAUUCUCUUCUUCUUUCAGUUGUGAGUUAAAAUGAGAAUAGUCAUGUUACAAUGAUCAUGAGUAGGCGGUUAGGCGCCUAUUUUGUAACUGCAGAAUCUGGUGAGUUUUCUUCUCCUAUUCUGUUUUUUAUCAUUCUUCUUGUUAACCAACCUAAAAAUGUGCCAUUGUGUUGCUGCAAAUCUUGGAACUAAGGGUUAGUUUGGCAACGUAAAUACUAACCUGGUUUAGUUUUCAACUAGAUAGGCUUAGUGUAGAUUAGGCUAAACUAGUUAUAUGUGAACUAGUUUUGAGCUGGACCUAGUUUGGUAAGUAUAGACAAAACUGAUUCGAACUAUUUAUUGUUUGGUUAGCACAUAUCUUUAAAAAUAGAUCCCCAACUUGAUGAUCAGAUUUUUUGUUCUUUUUUUCUCUUUAGAUUUUUUGGGCCACUAAACGGGUUCUCUUCCAACCCCCCCCCCGGGGGGGGAUUGAUGGGGUUCUUUUCUGACCCAGUUGUUGGGGCAAUAUGGGGCCAAGCAAAAACAAGUUAGGCCCAACUUUUUGUUUUGCCAAACUAGGGCUAAGCUAUUGGCCCAAGGUUGUUCCAACUAAAACCAGUGUAAUAGGUUUACCAAACAGGCCCUAACAUACUUCAUGAAUUACUGAUGCACCUAUUUCAUAGUUUACUUUCAGACCUUAAUAUAUGAUUUUAUCAUAGCAAAGAAUCUAUAAUCUUGCUGGUGCUACAUUUUGAGUUUAGUUUGCCAUGUACUGUAGAUGUUUAUUGUUAAUGUUGAUGAUCAUUUUAUUUUAUUUUUUAAAACAUGGUUCUUUACCUUUUGUUGGCACGGAAUUCGCGUGUACUUGUACAGUUGUUUAAUUAUUACAUGUAACAGUGCUGCAACAUUUAUCUGGAGUUCUAAAAUUUCAGUAACUCUUUUAACAGGUUCCAGCAUUUACCCCUAGUGUAUAAUCGAAAACCUAUUUUUAAUGGUACAAAAUCUUAAAAUGGUUAUCUUGUCCAAGCAUCUUGAUCCUAACUGGACUGACCCACUUACAUUUUGCGUUAGGCAGGUCAACCCGAGAUAGACCCACAUCCUUUUAUUGGAACCAUAAACAAAUGUUAAUUUCGACUUGCUGGGUAAAUUUUGCCGCACUUAAUCUUGGGUAUCUUUAAUUUUCUUGGAUCAACUAGGUUUUGAUAGGUCAUUAUGCUUUGCGGGGAGAGGUAAAAGUGCUAUGUUAUGAUGUUUUUUUUCAUUUAUAUUGAAUUUAUUUCUCAGUUGGAUUGUUGAAAGAAGAUUAGGGACCUCAUUAGUCUCUUAUCUCCGUAUCUUGUGUUCAGCAAUUUUACAUCCAAUCAAUUUCUUGCUUGCACCUGUUUUAGGACCUUAUUGUUAUCAAAAGGCUAGUUAAAAUUAAUUAAUAUUACCCAUUUGAUCCUAUUGCUCAGCGGAUUAAUACUUCACAAGUGAUAUUUCAUUUUGUUUUUAUGACUACAGCCACUGUAAUAUUCUUUAUUUCGAGACAACAAUCUUGGGUUAGUGAUUACUUAACUUUUAGUAAUCAGAUUUUAGCUGCAGACCUUGGUUGCAACUUUACUGUUAUAUUUUUUAAUCCUAUUGCUCAGCAGAUUAAUACUUUACAAGUGAUAUUUUAUUUUGUUUUUAUGACUAUACCCACUGUAAUGUUCUUUAUUCCAAGACAACAAUCUCAGAUAAGUGAAACAAGCUCUAUUAUCCCUCUAUUAGGAGGCCAAGCCAAACUUACUUGACUCUGUCACUUCAACAUAUAGCCAAUCACGCGCAACUGAAUACCACUAAGGAUGCUGACUAGCAUGUGCUUCAGAUAUUUUUUUUUUGCUAAUGUUUCUCCUAUCACUUGUUGUUUGGCUACUUUUCACUGUCUUUAAAUUCCAGAUUCAAGACAAGGAGAUGUUUUCUACUGUAAAUAAAAAAUAUGGAAUGAUCAGUUUUCAUCAGGAUCCUGGACAGUACAAAACUUGUGAGAUGAUAGAGCACAUUGCACAUUGACUCAUCUAUUCACCCACUAAACACUUGUUUUUUCUGUUAUUUCAUUCUUGAACCUGCUUGUGGUUGGCUGUCCACCUACUCCAGAUAAUAUGGUGCUGUCUAUGUAUAAUUUCUUUCUAAUGACACUUAGUUUAUCUAUAAUAGGAUUUGUACUAUUUCUUACUGUACUAUGAAAGUGUAAAUCCAUGUUCUAGUUUUUCUUAAACCUGAAAUCUCGAGUUAUAAUUUACCUUAUAACCUUCACCAAUAAGUCAGAGGGAAAACCGUAACCAUAACUUUAGUGCUUUUCUAUCGUUGUUGAAGUCUUGAAGAAGAUAUUAUCAGUCUUUAGGCUAUUAUUUUAUAUUUUAUUGAUCAGCUCUGAAGAAUAUAUCAUUGAUGAAUUAAGUUUUUUUUUAUUUGUAUCAUUUUUCUUUUGGCUUUUAUGUGAUGAUAACUGAUAAGCCUUUUAGAUGAAAUUAACCAGAGCAUUCAGGUCUGGAUACCGGUACUGUUGCUUUUCACUUGACUGUCCAUGUUUCCAUCUUCAAUUGUUUAAAAGGGAUCUUGUUCCAGUUAACUACCAAACAUUGUUCAUAUCUUUUGGGAGCAUCGUGUUGUUAAUUAAACAUUUGUCUAACAUGCAUAUUUUAUUGAUGAUUUUACAAUUUUAGGGACUAGGCAUGUAAAUUGAGUUGAUUAAUCUGAUUCAUUUGCAUUUCCCAAAUCGCUUGGAGAGGAAAGAUAACUUUCCCCAUUAACUAUAGGAAUUUUGGGAUCUAUUGGCAAUAUGGUUAUUAGGUCAUGCUUGUCUUUUGAUUUACUCGCUAGUUGCUACUUGCUAUUCACAAGUACUUUUUAUUGUUUUGAUGUCAUAAACUAAUUGAUAUUAAAGGUUCAGUGUCCUUUUUUCUCUUCUCUUUUCUUUUCUUUUCUUUUCUUUUUUUAAUUGAUAUUUGGUGAGAUGUGGCUGGUUUAGCAUUGGGUUUGGGAAGAAAUUGGGUGGUCAUGAAGGACGUGGGCAUUGAGAAGGCACUGCUCUCAAGUUCAAUCUGCCAAAAAUCACUUACUUUUCCCCUAAUUUCUAUUUCGAUGGAUGAGGUCCCCAAAAUUUUUUUGCUGCCAAGUUUUCUCUGAGACCUGUUAACUAUUUUUUAGCAGAAUUUUAUUUAUUUUUACAGGUAGCUUUCCUCUUGGUUUCUCACCAAAACAUUUUUCCUUUAUAGGGUGAUUAGGGUCUUAUGAACUUUCUUGGUAAUUGUAGAUUAUAAAGCUUGUAAAUUCUUGUUUUAGCUCCCAAGAUAUCAAUGUGGAUAUCAGGGAUUCGGCAAUGGAGGAUAAGGGAAUUGCAUAGAUGGUACUCGCUUAUUGAAAGAGGGAGAGGAAGAUAGUCCACCAAAACUGUUUACUGGUAAAUUGUCUCUUAGCAUGUUAACUGUAGAAUUUCAGAAACUGCCCGAAAUAUGAGUAAUUAGGUCAAGCCUGUCUUUUGAUUUACUUGCUAUAUACACAAGGAGUUAUGAUUGUUUUGAUGCCAUAAACCUAUUGAUGUAAAAGAUUUGCAAGUUAUUUUGUGGAGAUUUAGGAGGUUUAGGGUUUGAAGAAGUACCCCUUAGUAUCAGGAUGAGAUGAGCCAGUGAUGAACGACGAGGGCAUCGAGAAGGUGGUGCCCUCGAUUUCAAACCUCCUAAAAUUGCGGUUUCAUCCCCUAAUUUCUUUUUUGAUGGAUGAGGCCGCCAAAUUAUUUCACGGGUAAGCUUUGUCUUAGACCCAUCUACUAUUUUCAGCAGAAUUUUUUUUUUAGGUAGCUGGCCUCUUGGUUUUCUUGUUGGAAUAUACUUCCUUUCUAGGGUUGUGAUGAAUUUUCUUGGUACUUGUAGAUUAUGAAGCUUGUAAAAGUCUUGUGUCAGCCUCUCAACUUCCUCGAUAUCUCUUCUGCGGACAUCAAUGCUUUGGCGAUGGAGGACAAUGACAUCGAGUUGAUGGUGCUUGCUUAUUUAAAUAGGGUGAGGAGGAUGAUAGUCAACCAAAACCUUUUGCUGGUAAGUUUUCUCUUGGACAACUUAACUGUAGAAUUUUGGUAACAGUUCGAAAUAUUGGUUAUUAGGUCAAGCUUGACUUUUGAUUUACUUGCCAUUCAGAAGGACAUUCUGAAAAGCUGUGAAUUUAGAAUUCAGAUACAGAUUAGAUGUCAGAGAUAAGCGUCGCUUCCCAGGUCGGAGAAUGAUGCUGCCAAAUCUCAUCUUUGUUAAACUAAGCUAGAAUCAUUGGCAUAUGUUUAGAAGACUUGUAUAAGGUACAUUCUUUUCUAUUUUCUUGCUCAAUUUUGUUAUAGCUAUGAUUUUCAUUGUGAUAUUGUAUAACUGCUUCAACUCCUUUCUGAUAGUUGAUAACUGAUUUAACUUCUACAUAUUAUGUUUUGGCAGUAGGAAAUUUUCAUGACCUUCAACCAUUCAUGCCAAGGUUUUAGUUCCCUGCACUAACAUAUUAGCUAAAGAGUUACUCAAAAUGUUUUUGCUGUUUGAUCUGCUUUAUUAUCUUAUACUUGAGCAAUUAUGGACAAGAAACAGGAAAAAGCGGAGGCUUCAGUGGCUCCUGAGUUCAUAGGGCUUGGGGGAACAACUCAAUGCAUAAGAUGUACCAGGUCUCUGGCAAAGAUCAGAGUUAUAGGAUCCAGCUGUUUGAUGAUUCGUGAGAGAUUCUUGACUAAUCAGCAAGGAAUCAAUUAAUUUUAGACGUGAUUCAGUCCAUGCGAUUUUGGAUUUGACAUCCUCGCCCCUCGUUGAAUUCUAACCAUAAUUAUAAUUUUCAUUGAUUAGUUUUUCAUUGCUAUAGAUUGUUAGAAAUUCAUAAUUACUAUGAUUAUUAAGAUAACUAUAGAUCUCAUUGCUUGUUUGCUUGGAUUCAAAUUGCAUUAAUAACCCUUUAGCGUCUUCUCUUGCGUGAGAAGGGCUAGAAGAUUGCAGUCUCUUCACAAGUGGGAGGUAUGGGGACCUCUACUGCCCCACUGAAGUCUAAGAAUGUUGACCGAAGGGAACACAAGAAGAAAAUAAGAAAGGGGCCUGAAGGAUGUCUACUAUUUCGUCUCAUCCCAGUAGUAACAGAGAUAUUUUUAUCGAAUGAAGCUAUUUUAUGAAAGUGUGUUGACUGUUGAUUUAAUUUUUCUGCUUUAGUGAAUGAAGUUGUAGCUAAUAGUGGUAAUGUUGGUCCUCUAAUAUCCGGAGGACACUGUUAGAAUUUAAAACUAUAACUCUCAACCCCUCACCACAGCUAAUAGUUGUAGCUAAUAGUGAUAUUUUUAUUUAAUGCUUUGUUUGGAUGUGGGUGAAUGAGGGGUCGGGGGAGGAAGUUAAAUGGAUUAACUUUGUUUGAGCUUUUUUUUAAAGGGAAUGGAGGGAAAAAGAAGUAACAAAUUUUACAUCUCCUAACCUCCAUUCUAUAUAAUUUGGUUAACCCUCAAAUUAGGGUGUAGAGGAGGUGAAUUUUUGUGGACCAUCAUCAUGCUACAAAUCCAACGACUAAGAAAUGAUUCGGCUCCAUUCUCUUUGCUAAACUCCCAAACAUAAUUAUUACAUUUUUUUUCUCCCCUUCAUUUCCGUUCCUUUACAUUGUUUUCUCUUCCCUUAUUUCCCUUCCCCUCCAUUAGUAAACUCCCAACCAUAGCAUAAAAGACCGGGGGACUGGUACUGGAACAAACAUUGAUGCUGCACAAAUGUAAGGACGAAGGUGGCCUGAGAAACAAUGUUGGCAAUCGUUUUACAUUAUGUUUUCAUGCAUGUGUUGAACCUUUUCUUAAAUUUACUUCAAUGUUAUUGGUGGAGUACUUGCCAUUUUUUAAAUUUAAUUCUAUUGUCAAUAACACUGCUAUAGAGUGAGGAACUAGACAGAAGUUUGAAUAUGGUCACUUUUUACAUAUUUUUAAAUUUAACUUCAGUGCUUUACACCAGUGUUAUUGAUGAAGUAAUUGCCAUCUUGGAUAAUGUGAGCAUUUAUUUUACAUGAACAUAUUUUCAUGCAUGUGUUGCCAUUUUAGACAGUUUGGAUCAUUGAGUUAUGUCUAUACUUAGGAAGUCUAUAGCAAGUGAACCCUGUAAUAUGUAACAUUUCACAAGUUUAGUAAAUAAAUAUUGACCUGAUUUUCUACCAGCUUGAAAGUAGUUUUUUUUUUUUUGGUCGUUUUUGCUUUCCUUUGAUCUGCAGCAGGUGAUAUUGUCUAAUUUACAUCCUUCAACCUGCCGCGUCAUCGUCAGUGGACUCGUUAUGGUUACCUUCUGUCCAAGUUCACUGCCGAGUAAUGCUUACAACCAAAAGGUAUGUCAUAGUAUAUUUUUAUUUAUCUUUUGUGAUUAUUUACAGAUUAUGUCAUACUCUAUUCUUAGUUACUUUAUAUAGGAAGAUGAACUCUUUAAUUACUUUCUUUUGCAUUCCUUGUGUUAUGAUUCCGAACACUGGGAUUGUAUUAGUAUCCCGUGCACAUUCAAUUUGUCUUUCAUAAUGUUAUAUUGAUGAUACGAUUUUCUCAUUUCAUAUAAAAUUGGGCAUGCUAUUGUUAAAUAUUAUAGCAAUCCUGAAAAUCCAGUGAUAUAUCUUUCAUGAUAGUAAAAUUUUCAUUGUAGGAUUUUUUUUUGUUACUUCUCUAUUUUUACUUAAAUAUGGUUGAGCAAUAUUUGGCUU